rnacentral:rRNA from 1 species
UCGUGAGGCAUGCUGGAGGUAUCAGAAGUGCGAAUGCUGACAUAAGUAACGAUAAAGCGGGUGAAAAGCCCGCUCGCCGGAAGACCAAGGGUUCCUGUCCAACGUUAAUCGGGGCAGGGUGAGUCGACCCCUAAGGCGAGGCCGAAAGGCGUAGUCGAUGGGAAACGGGUUAAUAUUCCCGUACUUGGUGUUACUGCGAAGGGGGGACGGAGAAGGCUAUGUUGGCCGGGCGACGGUUGUCCCGGUUUAAGCGUGUAGGUGUGUGUUCCAGGUAAAUCCGGUUCACUUUAACACUGAGGCGUGACGACGAGGCACUACGGUGCUGAAGCAACAAAUGCCCUGCUUCCAGGAAAAGCCUCUAAGCAUCAGGUAACAUCAAAUCGUACCCCAAACCGACACAGGUGGUCAGGUAGAGAAUACCAAGGCGCUUGAGAGAACUCGGGUGAAGGAACUAGGCAAAAUGGUGCCGUAACUUCGGGAGAAGGCACGCUGACACGUAGGUGAAGUGAUUUACUCAUGGAGCUGAAGUCAGUCGAAGAUACCAGCUGGCUGCAACUGUUUAUUAAAAACACAGCACUGUGCAAACACGAAAGUGGACGUAUACGGUGUGACGCCUGCCCGGUGCCGGAAGGUUAAUUGAUGGGGUCAGCGCAAGCGAAGCUCCUGAUCGAAGCCCCGGUAAACGGCGGCCGUAACUAUAACGGUCCUAAGGUAGCGAAAUUCCUUGUCGGGUAAGUUCCGACCUGCACGAAUGGCGUAAUGAUGGCCAGGCUGUCUCCACCCGAGACUCAGUGAAAUUGAACUCGCUGUGAAGAUGCAGUGUACCCGCGGCAAGACGGAAAGACCCCGUGAACCUUUACUAUAGCUUGACACUGAACAUUGAGCCUUGAUGUGUAGGAUAGGUGGGAGGCUUUGAAGCGUGGACGCCAGUCUGCGUGGAGCCGACCUUGAAAUACCACCCUUUAAUGUUUGAUGUUCUAACGUGGACCCGUUA